GUGGGGAAUUUUGGACAAUGGGCGAAAGCCUGAUCCAGCCAUUCCGCGUGCAGGAUGAAGGCCCUCGGGUUGUAAACUGCUUUUGUACAGAACGAAAAAGCUCCGGCUAAUACCUGGAGUCCAUGACGGUACUGUAAGAAUAAGCACCGGCUAACUACGUGCCAGCAGCCGCGGUAAUACGUAGGGUGCAAGCGUUAAUCGGAAUUACUGGGCGUAAAGCGUGCGCAGGCGGUUUUGUAAGACAGAGGUGAAAUCCCCGGGCUCAACCUGGGAACUGCCUUUGUGACUGCAAGGCUGGAGUGCGGCAGAGGGGGAUGGAAUUCCGCGUGUAGCAGUGAAAUGCGUAGAUAUGCGGAGGAACACCGAUGGCGAAGGCAAUCCCCUGGGCCUGCACUGACGCUCAUGCACGAAAGCGUGGGGAGCGAACAGGAUUAGAUACCCGAGUAGUCC
rnacentral:rRNA from 1 species